rnacentral:rRNA from 1 species
GUUUGAUCCUGGCUCAGGAUGAACGCUGGCGGCGUGCCUAAUACAUGCAAGUCGAGCGAAUGGAUUAAG